rnacentral:lncRNA from 1 species
UAUAAUGAUCAAGGGUAAAUUGGAUCAAGUAGAGAGUAAAAACAAUAAGUUCAAGAUCAAUGUGGGCAAGCCUAGUCUUAGCUCGUGUUUCUAGAUCGUCGUUAUGUAUUGUGUAUUGUUUUGAGCUCUAAUAUGUGGUGUAUGUUGAUGUAAAAUGAUUGGUGAGUUUAUUUUGAGGAUAUAUUGAUGAUAUAAAAGUUGGACAUAAAGUGGAAAUAACA